rnacentral:misc_RNA from 1 species
GGGAGCCAUAUGAGUUGACAGGCUCGCGUACGGUUCUGGAAGCGCGUGGGGAUGAGAUUCCCCUGCGCGACUCGCU